UCCCUGGAGGGUCUGGGGACACUGGAAUGAGCCUGUAUGUACCUUUAUCCAUCCUAGCCCCCUCACCCCAGAUGGUUCCUGCCGUCCUGGGGCUGUGGUAUGUGGCUCUCCAUGCUCCAGGCCUGGAGCAAAGAGGCCUGGCCGCCCACCUGCCUGUGC